CCGGGAGCGCGCCGGGGAUGCGGGAGCGCGCCGGGGAUGCGGGAGCGCGCCGGGAGUCCGGGAGCGCGCGGGGAUCCCGGGCACGGCCAGGGCUCGGCUGGGCCCUGCUGGCAGAGCUGGGACACUCGGGAGAUGGGACAUUCGGGAACAGGGACACUCGGGAACAGGGACACUCGGGAGAUGGGACAUUCGGGAGAUGGGACACUCGGGAACAGGGACACUUGGGAACAGGGACACUCGGGAACAGGGACACUUGGGAACAGGGACACUCGGGAGAUGGGACACUCGGGAACAGGGACACUCGGCACGCUCCGGACCCGCCCUCCUCCUGCCCCCGAACACUCUGCCGGAGCAAGCUCCCUUGCUGUGCUCUCCCUAGCCCAGGAAUUGCCUGCCAAAAACCGGAGGGUUUCGGUGCGCCUGCACCUCCCAGCACUCCCAAACUGCUCUUAUGAUUUAAAUGCAUUUACACUUCAUGUCCUCCACUCCACCGGAGAAGGAAGUUAUUAAGAAGUUUGCAGAAGGGUGUGCAGGAGGCACUAAGCAAACAGCCAGAAUAAAAAUCUCCUACUACCUCACCUUUUGCUAAACCACUCAACCAUCUUCCUUCUUUGUCCUUCUUCAACACAACCUUUUGAUUCUCUUUCAACACACUGAUGUGUUUUGGUUGGAAUUGCAAAAGAUUGGCCGAAAUAAUACUCGCUGGAUGUUUCAGAAAUAUUUUCCUUGUUUUGGUUGGGAUAGUUUUCUGGAACUGCCACAACAGUCUUUUAAAAUAAAGGCUAAAUGUCUCUGCAGGUAAAUAUGUAUAACCUGUGUUCCUGAAACAGUCAUGGAGCCUUAAGAUACAAUCCAGAGACACUCUCCUAUGUGACAACCACAUACUCGUGAUACUUCCUGCAAGAAUAAGAGCUUUGUGAGAGUUCUGAUUUCCCCAGAGUUAUACAAGAAACUGAAACAAGAGACUGUAAACACCUAUUAAUCCAGCCCUAUGCCAUAGCAGGACUUUCCCCUUACAUGAUUUCAUACUGUUAGGCCAGGCUCAUGCGACCCAAGCAAGAGUUACCCUCCUUCUCCAUGCUUUGCUCAUGUUUUCUUAUUUUUUUCUUCCUUUGCCAAUCACCUUUCACCAAAAAGCAAUGACUUUCUUUUACACAUCUCCCAACUCCACACCUUGCUUGGAACAUCGGCCCCUCCCAGGCCCAGGGUGUAGCAGAGAAGCUGCGGAAGGACUUUGCAAAGUCAGCUGUGGCUACAGUUAACCAAGCCACGACUGUUAGUGGUGAACAAACCCCUGACUCUUUCCCUGGUUCUCUCUCCAUGGCUCCCUCCUUGCCCCUUCUUCUCUGGGGAUGUUUAUUCACAGGCCAAACGAAAGAAGAAAAAUAUCUUGAAAUUAAACAUCACGUGGACAGGGCAGAACCCCGAAAAGAAAGAUCAGAGGAGUUUCGAGGGAACUGAAAGGGAGAGAUGAAGUAGAACACACAGGUAACUGGAAAGGAAAUCCCCAGGCGGAUAAUCCACAAUGUUCAUGGAAAACAGAAGAGCAGUCAGACUCCUGGAGGCCAGAGGAAGAUGCUGGAAUUGUUAACGUGUUAAAGUCCUGUAACGUGGAGCAGGCAACAGUGCAGACUGUCAGUGACAAGAACAGGAGCACGGCUCUGCCAGAGCCUGGCUCGAUAACCACGGCACAUCACAGGACACGACACGGAACUUCACCGUGGUACACAGUGAUCUGGCUGUGUCAAAAAAGAUAACUUAGCUGCUUUUCACUCACCUGGAUUUGCCAGGUUGUAUUGCAAUUUGUCCCUAUUUGUCGUGACACAGCAAAACGAAAAGUACUCCCCAAACCUGAUUCACAGCCAGUCAACGCUACCUUGGGAAACGUCACUGUUUCGGAGCACGGCACUCGUGAAGGAGGGCGCGGAGGUUUGGGCUGCAGUGUCAGCGCAGGGCUCGGCCGUGAGCCCGGGGCAGCUCCGGGAGAGCGGUGCCUGCUGCCAGACGGCCGAGAGCGGCCGGGAGCGCCCCGCGGGGGCGGCAGCGCCGCAGAAACCCGGGCCGGGCCGGGCUGGGCUGGGCUGGGAUAGACUAGGCUGAGCCGGGCUAGGCUGGGCUGGGAUAGACUAGGCUGAGCCGGGCUAGGCUGGCCCUGGCCGGGCCGGGCCGGGCGGGCGCGGUGCCGGGGCAGGUGCGGGCCCUCCCCGCGGGGCCCCCCCCCCCCCCCCCCCCCCCCCCCCCCCCCCCCCCCCCCCCCC
rnacentral:lncRNA from 12 species